ACGUAGGAGACGAGCGUUAUCCGGAAUUACUGGGCGUAAAGCUCGAGUAGGCGGAAGUGCAAGUCUUUUGUGAAAGCUCCUGGCUAAACUGGGAGAGGUCGAAAGAUACUGCACAUCUGGAGUAUGGAAGAGGGGAGCGGAAUUCCGGGUGGAGUGGUGAAAUGCGUAGAGAUCCGGAGGAACACCAGUGGCGAAGGCGAUUCGCUGGGCCUACUCUGACGCUCAGACGCGACAGCAUGGGGAGCGAACGG
rnacentral:rRNA from 1 species